rnacentral:rRNA from 1 species
UACGUAGGGGGCAAGCGUUGUCCGGAAUCAUUGGGCGUAAAGCGCGUGUAGGCGGACUGGAAGGUCUGGUGUGAAAGCCCGGGGCUCAACCCCGGAGGGUCACUGGAAACCGACAGUCUCGAGUCCGGAAGAGGAGAGUGGAAUUCCUGGUGUAGCGGUGGAAUGCGCAGAUAUCGUAAGGAAGACCAGUGGCGAAGGCGAGUCUCUGGACAGCAACUGACGCUGAGGCACGAAGGCCAGGGGAGCAAACGGG